GAUGUUGUAGUGGAGGUUAGGACUGGUAACAGGGAUGUUGUAGUGUUGGUGGAGGUUAGGACUGGUAACAGGGAUGUUGUAGUGGAGGUUAGGACUGGUAACAGGGAUGUUGUAGUGUUGGUGGAGGUUAGGACUGGUAACAGGGAUGUUGUAGUGGAGGUUAGGACUAGUAACAGGGAUGUUGUAGUGGAGGUUAGGACUAGUAACAGGGAUGUUGUAGUGUUGUUGGAGGUUAGGACUUGUAACAGGGAUGUUGUAGUGUUGUUGGAGGUUAGGACAAGUAACAGGGAUGUUGUAGUGUUGGUGGAGGUUAGAAUUAGUAACAGGGAUGUUGUAGUGGAGGUUAGGACUGGUAACAGGGAUGUUGUAGUGGAGGUUAGGACAAGUAACAGGGAUGUUGUAGUGUUGUUGGAGGUUAGGACUAGUAACAGGGAUGUUGUUGGAGGUUAGGAGGAGUAACAGGGAUGUUGUAGUGUUGGUGGAGGUUAGGACUAGUAACAGGGAUGUUGUAGUGUUGGUGGAGGUUAG
ensembl:lncRNA